GAGUCAUUGCCUCGUUUGUUUGAACUUCGAACCAUAUUAUUUUAGUUUGUGCUUUCAUUCUAUUGUAGAUUGUGUGUAUCUGGGUCUGGUUUUUCUGACCAAUUUGAGUGUUGUUGAUUUGUCUGGAUUUUUUUGUACAUAUGUUUUUUUUUUUGUUCAUUGGGUGAUAUCAAAUAAAAGAAAGCUCGUGAUUUUAUUUUAUUGUUCAUCGGGGUGUAUCACGGGAUCCGUUUAUUUCAUUUAUUUUGUUUUUCUGAUGCAUUCUUUCUGCCUGACCAUUGAAGUAACGAAAAUAGCAUUUAUAAUUUAUUCCAUUGUUUGAAGAAGUUUAAAUAUAUUUGCGUAAAUUGGUAAGCAAUGAAUAAAUUUUGCAACUUCAGAAAGUAGACCAAUGUUAUUCAGAUUCUAUAUAUAUAUAUAUUCAUAUAAAUGGGGUGAUAGUCUAUAAAACCAGAGCUCACUGUGCAAGCUGAGCCAAUCAUGGACCCUUAUGGCCCUUCUAUAGUUGAUGAAAAUUUGGAAGCUAUAGUGGUCAGUAAGGAGACUUUACCAGGUGGAGUUUCAGUCAAUAAAAAGAGAGUUGAAAAAGGGCUUUCACAACUAAAGCUUAAAACAAUGGCCAUGAGUACUUAUCCCCAAAAAAAUCAAAGCUCUAUCUCGUCGUUCUCCUGACUCCGCUACUCUCUCCAUUUCGCUGUCAUCUCUUGGUUUUUCGAGGUACUCUUGCUCGUCUUUGGUGUGCGUGGCGUCGUCUCCGGUGGUGGCUGUUCUCUCUUCUUGUUAAAGGUUAAUAUUUUGAUUGGUCUUAAAGCAUUGGAUUGGUAGUUAAUUGCAAGAGUUCACCUCCGACAAGCCAUAUACUACUCAAGAAAUUGACAAAGUUAGAGAAGAAUGGGCAAUGUUAUUUUUACAUUUGGUUAGAGCAAAAUGAAUGAUGUUAUAGCUAGCUAAUUACAAUACAUGUUUAGAAAUUUUAAAUUUAUUUCGUAAAAUUUUUUUGCCAUUUUUUUAGUAUUUUCUUUUCAAAUUUCUUU